GACGAACGCUGGCGGCGUGCUUAACACAUGCAAGUCGAACGGAAAGGCCCUGCUUUUGUGGGGUGCUCGAGUGGCGAACGGGUGAGUAACACGUGAGUAACCUGCCCUUGACUUUGGGAUAACUUCAGGAAACUGGGGCUAAUACCGGAUAGGAGCUCCUGCUGCAUGGUGGGGGUUAGAAAGUUUCGGCGGUUGGGGAUGGACUCGCGGCUUAUCAGCUUGUUGGUGGGGUAGUGGCUUACCAAGGCUUUGACGGGUAGCCGGCCUGAGAGGGUGACCGGCCACAUUGGGACUGAGAUACGGCCCAGACUCCUACGGGAGGCAGCAGUGGGGAAUAUUGCACAAUGGGCGGAAGCCUGAUGCAGCAACGCCGCGUGCGGGAUGACGGCCUUCGGGUUGUAAACCGCUUUCGCCUGUGACGAAGCGUGAGUGACGGUAAUGGGUAAAGAAGCACCGGCUAACUACGUGCCAGCAGCCGCGGUGAUACGUAGGGUGCGAGCGUUGUCCGGAUUUAUUGGGCGUAAAGGGCUCGUAGGUGGUUGAUCGCGUCGGAAGUGUAAUCUUGGGGCUUAACCCUGAGCGUGCUUUCGAUACGGGUUGACUUGAGGAAGGUAGGGGAGAAUGGAAUUCCUGGUGGAGCGGUGGAAUGCGCAGAUAUCAGGAGGAACACCAGUGGCGAAGGCGGUUCUCUGGGCCUUUCCUGACGCUGAGGAGCGAAAGCGUGGGGAGCGAACAGGCUUAGAUACCCUGGUAGUCCACGCUGUAAACGGUGGGUACUAGGUGUGGGGUCCAUUCCACGGGUUCCGUGCCGUAGCUAACGCUUUAAGUACCCCGCCUGGGGAGUACGGCCGCAAGGCUAAAACUCAAAGGAAUUGACGGGGCCCCGCACAAGCGGCGGAGCAUGCGGAUUAAUUCGAUGCAACGCGUAGAACCUUACCUGGGUUUGACAUGGAUCGGGAGCGCUCAGAGAUGGGUGUGCCUCUUUUGGGGUCGGUUCACAGGUGGUGCAUGGCUGUCGUCAGCUCGUGUCGUGAGAUGUUGGGUUAAGUCCCGCAACGAGCGCAACCCUUGUUCACUGUUGCCAGCACGUUAUGGUGGGGACUCAGUGGAGACCGCCGGGGUCAACUCGGAGGAAGGUGGGGAUGACGUCAAGUCAUCAUGCCCCUUAUGUCCAGGGCUUCACGCAUGCUACAAUGGCUGGUACAGAGAGUGGCGAGCCUGUGAGGGUGAGCGAAUCUCGGAAAGCCGGUCUCAGUUCGGAUUGGGGUCUGCAACUCGACCUCAUGAAGUCGGAGUCGCUAGUAAUCGCAGAUCAGCAACGCUGCGGUGAAUACGUUCCCGGG
rnacentral:rRNA from 1 species